rnacentral:rRNA from 1 species
CCUAAGGUAGCGAAAUUCCUUGUCGGGUAAGUUCCGACCUGCACGAAUGGCGUAACGAUGGGGGCGCUGUCUCUACCCGAGACUCAGUGAAAUUGAAAUCGCCGUGAAGAUGCGGUGUAUCCGCGGCUAGACGGAAAGACCCCGUGAACCUUUACUAUAGCUUCACAGUGAACUUUGAGCAUGUUUGUGUAGGAUAGCUGGGAGGCUUUGAAGUGGGAACGCCAGUUCUCAUGGAGCCAACCUUGAAAUACCAGCCUGACAUGUUUGAGGUUCUAACUUGGACCCCUUAUCGGGGUUGAGGACACUGUGUGGUGGGUAGUUUGACUGGGGCGGUCUCCUCCCAAAGCGUAACGGAGGAGCACAAAGGUGGGCUAAGCAUGGUCGGACAUCAUGCGGUUAGUGUAAUGGCACAAGCCCGCUUAACUGCGAGACAGACACGUCGAGCAGGUACGAAAGUAGGUCAUAGUGAUCCGGUGGUUCUGUAUGGAAGGGCCAUCGCUCAACGGAUAAAAGGUACUCCGGGGAUAACAG